ACAAAUAUCAUUAUUCCACCAUAGAGACUUGCAAAUCAAGGUGUAAGAGAUUAUAUACUUUAUCUUGGCUGACCCAGGAUAAAGAAGGAGAGAUGAGACAUACAUAAUCCCGUGUGUGGGAAAUCAGAAGCAGUGCAUACUCAUAAUUUCCCUAGCCCUUUGAGGGCCAUCAGAGGAGGCUAUUUUACUGCUGAUUUAAUAUUUCAGAAGCA
rnacentral:lncRNA from 1 species